rnacentral:rRNA from 1 species
GAUGAACGCUGGCGGCGUGCCUAAUACAUGCAAGUCGAGCGAACAGACGAGGAGCUUGCUCCUCUGACGUUAGCGGCGGACGGGUGAGUAACACGUGGAUAACCUACCUAUAAGACUGGGAUAACUUCGGGAAACCGGAUCUAAUACCGGAUAAUAUAUUGAAUCGCAUGGUUCAAUAGUGAAAGACGGUUUUGCUGUCACUUAUAGAUGGAUCCGCGCCGCAUUAGCUAGUUGGUAAGGUAACGGCUUAGCAAGGCAACGUUGCGUAGCCGACAUGAGAGGGUGAUCGGCCACCCUGGAACUGAGACACGGUCCAGACUCCUACGGGAGGCAGCAGUAGGGAAUCUUCCGCAAUGGGCGAAAGCCUGACGGAGCAACGCCGCGUGAGUGAUGAAGGUCUUCGGAUCGUAAAACUCUGUUAUUAGGGAAGAACAAAUGUGUAAGUAACUAUGCACGUAUUGACGGUACCUAAUCAGAAAGCCACGGCUAACUACGUG